GACGAACGCUGGCGGCGUGCCUAAUACAUGCAAGUAGGACGCAGUUGCGAACGGGUGAGUAACGCGUAGGUAUCUACCUAUUAGAGGGGGAUAACUAUUGUAAACGAUAGCUCAUACCGCAUACUAGUAGAUGGACCUGCGUUGUAUUAGGUAGUAGGUAGGGGAAUGGCCUACCUAGGCAACGAUACAUAGCCGACCUGGGGGGGGGAACGGCCACACUGGGACUGGGGAACGGGCCAGAAUCCUUCGGGAGGCAGGAGUAGGGAAUCUUCGGCAAAGGGGGGAACCCUGACCGAGCAACGCCGCGUGAGUGAAGAAGGUUUUCGGAUCGUAAAGCUCUGUUGUUAAGGAAGCGGUACUUAACCAGAAAGGGACGGCUAACUACGUGCCAGCAGCCGCGGUAAUUC
rnacentral:rRNA from 1 species